CGGGUGAGUAACACGUAUCCAACCUGCCGUCUACUCUUGGACAGCCUUCUGAAAGGAAGAUUAAUACAAGAUGGCAUCAUGAGUCCGCAUGUUCACAUGAUUAAAGGUAUUCCGGUAGACGAUGGGGAUGCGUUCCAUUAGAUAGUAGGCGGGGUAACGGCCCACCAAGGCGACGAUCGGUAGCCGGACUGGGAGGUUGAACGGCCACAUUGGGACUGAGACACGGCCCAG
rnacentral:rRNA from 1 species